rnacentral:rRNA from 1 species
UAGGGAAUAUUGCAAAAUGGGCGAAAGCCCGAUGCAGCAACGCCGCGUGGGCGAUGAAGGCCUUCGGGUCGUAAAGCCCUUUUUGAGGGGAUGAGGAAGGACAGUACCCUCAGAAUAAGCCUCGGCUAACUACGUGCCAGCAGCCGCGGUAAAACGUAGGAGGCGAGCGUUAUCCGGAUUUACUGGGCGUAAAGCGCGUGCAGGCGGAUUGGAGAGUUGGAUGUGAAAGCUCCCGGCUUAACUGGGAGAGGUCGUUCAAUACUUCCAGUCUUGAGUGCAGUAGAGGGAAGUGGAAUUCCGGGUGUGGUGGUGAAAUGCGUAGAUAUCCGGAGGAACACCAGUGGCGAAAGCGGCUUCCUGGACUGUAACUGACGCUCAGACGCGAAAGCUAGGGUAGCAAACG